CUGAACUUAAGCAUAUCAAUAAGCGGAGGAAAAGAAACCAACAGGAUUGCCCCAGUAACGGCGAGUGAAGCGGCAACAGCUCAAAUUUGAAAUCUGCCCUCCGGGGGGGCCCGAGUUGUAAUUUGCAGAGGAUGCUUCUGGCGAGGUGCCUUCCGAGUUCCCUGGAACGGGACGCCACAGAGGGUGAGAGCCCCGUCUGGUCGGACACCGAGCCUCUGUGAAGCUCCUUCGACGAGUCGAGUAGUUUGGGAAUGCUGCUCUAAAUGGGAGGUAUAUGUCUUCUAAAGCUAAAUACCGGCCAGAGACCGAUAGCGCACAGUAGAGUGAUCGAAAGAUGAAAAGCACUUUGAAAAGAGGGUUAAACAGUACGUGAAAUUGUUGAAAGGGAAGCGCUCACGACCAGACCUGGUCCCGGCGAAUCAGCCGUUCUCGCCGGUGCACUUCGACGGGCUUCCAGGCCAGCAUCAGUCCGCGCCGGGGGACAAAGGCGGCGGGAACGUGGCUCCCCAGGGAGUGUUAUAGCCCGCCGCGCAAUGCCCCGGGGGCGGACUGAGGACCGCGCGUCACCGCAAGGAUGCUGGCGUAAUGGUCUUCAGCGACCCGUCUUGAAACACGGACCAAGGAGUCGUCCUCGUAUGCGAGUGUUGGGGCGUCAAACCCCCCGCGCGUAAUGAAAGUGAACGGCAGGUGAGAGCCCUUCGCGGGCGCAUCAUCGACCGAUCCUUGAUGUUCUCGGAUGGAUUUGAGUAAGAGCAUACGGGGCCGGACCCGAAAGAAGGUGAACUAUGCCUGUGUAGGGUGAAGUCCAGAGGAAACUCUGGUGGAGGCUCGCAGCGGUUCUGACGUGCAAAUUGAUCGUCAAACAGGGCAUGGGGGCGAAAGACUAAUCGAACCUUCUAGUAGCUGGUUUCCGCCGAAGUUUCCUCAGGAUAGCAGUGCUGAGCUCAGUUUUAUGAGGUAAAGCGAAUGAUUAGGGACCCGGGGGCGCAUACUUGCCUUCAUCCAUUCUCAAACUUUAAAUAUGUAAGAAGCCCUUGUUACUUAGCUGAACGUGGGCAUUCGAAUGUAUCAGCACUAGUGGGCCAUUUUUGGUAAGCAGAACUGGCGAUGCGGGAUGAACCGAACGCGAGGUUAAGGUGCCGGAGUGGACGCUCAUCAGACACCACAAAAGGUGUUAGUACAUCUUGACAGCAGGACGGUGGCCAUGGAAGUCGGAAUCCGCUAAGGACUGUGUAACAACUCACCAGCCGAAUGUACUAGCCCUGAAAAUGGAUGGGCCUCAAGCGUCCCACCCAUACCUGGCCCUCGGGGCAGGAUCGAGGCCCCGAGGAGUAGGCGGACGUGG
rnacentral:rRNA from 1 species